GAUUGAACGCUGGCGGUAUGCUUAACACAUGCAAGUCGAACGGAAACGAUACUAGCUUGCUAGUAGGCGUCGAGUGGCGGACGGGUGAGUAACGCGUAGGAAUCUGCCUGAUAGUGGGGGAUAGCCCGAAGAAAUUCGGAUUAAUACCGCAUAAUCUAUUCGUAGUAAAGUGGGGGACUUUCGAGCCUCACGCUAUCAGAUGAGCCUGCGUAAGAUUAGCUUGUUGGUAGGGUAAAAGCCUGCCAAGGCGACGAUCUUUAGCUGGUCUGAGAGGAUGAUCAGCCACAUCGGGACUGAGACACGGCCCGAACUCCUACGGGAGGCAGCAGUGGGGAAUAUUGGACAAUGGGGGCAACCCUGAUCCAGCAAUACCGCGUGUGUGAAGAAGGCCUGAGGGUUGUAAAGCACUUUCAAUUGUGAAGAAAAGUUAGCGGUUAAUAACCGUUAGCCUUGACGUUAACUUUAGAAGAAGCACCGGCUAACUCCGUGCCAGCAGCCGCGGUAAUACGGAGGGUGCAAGCGUUAAUCGGAAUUACUGGGCGUAAAGCGUGCGUAGGCGGUUUAUUAAGUCAGAUGUGAAAGCCCCGGGCUUAACCUGGGAACUGCAUUUGAAACUGGUCAACUAGAGUAUGGUAGAGGAAAGUGGAAUUUCUGGUGUAGCGGUGAAAUGCGUAGAUAUCAGAAGGAACAUCAAUGGCGAAGGCAGCUUUCUGGACCAAUACUGACGCUGAGGUACGAAAGCGUGGGUAGCAAACAGGAUUAGAUACCCUGGUAGUCCACGCCGUAAACGAUGAUAACUAGCCGUUGGGGGGAUUUACCCUUUAGUGGCGAAGCUAACGCGUUAAGUUAUCCGCCUGGGGAGUACGGCCGCAAGGUUAAAACUCAAAGGAAUUGACGGGGACCCGCACAAGCGGUGGAGCAUGUGGUUUAAUUCGAUGCAACGCGAAGAACCUUACCUGGUCUUGACAUCCUGCGAACUUUCUAGAAAUAGAUUGGUGCCUUCGGGAACGCAGUGACAGGUGCUGCAUGGCUGUCGUCAGCUCGUGUCGUGAGAUGUUGGGUUAAGUCCCGUAACGAGCGCAACCCCUAUCCUUAUUUGCCAGCACAUCAUGGUGGGAACUAUAAGGAGACUGCCGGUGAUAAACCGGAGGAAGGCGGGGACGACGUCAAGUCAUCAUGGCCCUUACGACCAGGGCUACACACGUGCUACAAUGGGAAGGACAAAGAGCCGCGAAGCCGCGAGGUGUAGCUAAUCUCAUAAACCUUUUCGUAGUCCGGAUUGGAGUCUGCAACUCGACUCCAUGAAGUCGGAAUCGCUAGUAAUCGUAGAUCAGAAUGCUACGGUGAAUACGUUCCCGGGUCUUGUACACACC
rnacentral:rRNA from 1 species